GUAUUUCGUACGGUCACCGAAGUUAAGCGACGUCGAGUCUGGUCAGUACUUAGAUGGGUGACCGCUUGGGAAUAACAAGUUCUGUAA